rnacentral:lncRNA from 1 species
UCCCCCUUUCUUUUUCAGAAGGGCAAUUAUCUUAAAGCCAAUAUUCUUCAAUUUUAUCUUUUCAUUUGUUGAUUCUAAAUAAACUUUCAAGUAUGAGUGUAAAUUUUGCAUUUUGCAUUUCUAUUGGUUCUACUCCCUCUUUUUGUCAUCAACAAUGAAAGGGACAAAUUUUUCUUAGGUAUCUAACACGCGAUGCCUAUUAGAAUUCAGCAUUACCAUGAAACAAGCAAUGAUCUCCAGGUUAUGCACCCCCUUUCUAAGUUAUUUCCAUCAAUGAAUUCAGCAUUCAUUUUAUUCCCCCUUUGUUUUGGAAUUCAUUUCAGACCUUUUGAAUGCAGUUAUUACAAGUUGUGCUCCCCCUGUUUCAUAUGCAUUGACAAGUUGGCAAAAUAGUAAAAUGGUUGCACAUUGUCAAAUUUGAACAUUCAAAGCAUGUUAUGACAUUUUCAUGGCACAUCAUAGAAUUAGAAACAUACACCAAGAUUCAAAAAGAAGGGUAUGACAUUC